GGGCCUGGGGCCGGGUGGUAAGGCGCUCCAUUUGCAUGUUUUGCGCAUUGGAGAGAUCCAGGGUUCAAACCCCUGCGGGUCCA